CUGGCCCUGGGUCUCUCCUUUCUUGGUCUCACUGUUGGGACUGAGUUUUUCAUGGUUAUUUGGGCACAGGAAGACAAGGAGAGGAUGUAAUGUGGAAAUGGAGAACCAUUCCCCUGGGGAAUGUCUGAUGAGAAAUUGAAACGAAUGGGAAAACGAAUGGGAACAGAAGAAAAUUUCUGUCUUCUGCGCUCCUACUCAGCCUGUUUCUUACUCCCCCAAUUGCUGUAGAAGUUACUUUAUGUGAAACCACUAAGGAAUGUUUAAUGUGUCCUGUUGAUUGUGUCCUGAGAGGCAUUGAUCCUAGGGAACAUUUUGUGGACAAAUGGUAUCAGGAACUUACUGGUGUAUUGGCUACAAGAACCUUGAGAACAUUUGAUUGACAAAGAGCAAGGCCUGAAGUCUAUAUUUGUGUUUAGAAGAACGGGCACAAGAUCAGAGAGACAGAGGGAAGCGUGCUUACAAUGAAACCUAAAAGAUGUAUGCAUAUAAUUAGGUUUACUCUUCCAGGCUCUGUAGCCUAUUGACUGGCAGGAAGAACUUGGUCUGAACCCAGAGGAAAGUAUUCUGUUUAAGAAGUUGGAUUGGCUUGAUCCCCCUCUGCCAUACACAGAGGUGGAUAGGAUAGUAUGGCAUAAUAGAAAAAGUAGAGUAAGACAGUCUUCCCUUUUGGGAACAUAUGAGGAGAGUGGGGUUGGCUUGCAAAACUAAGGAAUGCACUUUGUUUCCUGAAACAGCUAGAUGCUUAUUAUGCUAGAGUAGAGUGCAGCUAUUGCAUGAAGCCUCAUAAAUAAUAGAAAUAACUGCUUGAGAUAUGCCUUCAACAGAUAUCCAGGUAUUAAACAAAAUCCAUAACCCACUACAAUGGUUAUAUUUGAAGAAUCAUGUAAAUUUGCAUCAGCCUAGAGAGCCAUCCUUGGGAAAGUACACAUCCCAAAGGAACCAAAAUUACAGAUUUCUAGGUGCUAUACAAGCUGCUGCCAGUGAGAAGGUAUGAUGGGUGGGAGUGGGGUGUGGUGGGUGAUGCAGAUACAGGAUAAGCUGGGUCUUAAUGCCUCACAUCAUGCCCCUGCCCCACACUGGUAAUCUCAUUGACUCCUGUUCAGUCUUUGAUGUCCAUUCUUGUGUUUUCCCUGUAUGUCCUGGGAACCCAUGCUUUCAUUUUCAUUGUCUGUUUGCUUGACAUAAACUAGUUAUGGAGAAAGAACUUUUUAAUAUGGUUUACUUCUUAGAUAAUUUAGAUUUUUUUCUAAUUUCUGUGUCCUAUUAUCCUUAGACUAUGAGUGAGAGCUUAAUCCCAGAUUGUAUAUGGUAAACUGUACUGUACCUUUUGUAAACCAGGCAGCCUGAAUUACUGAAAGCAAUCUCUAUAUGUAGUGACUUAGUCUCAGUUCUUUCAUGUUCCACGUGUAUUCAGAUUGCAGACUAUUACAGAGAUCGAUAGAAUAUAAAAUUGGAGAAGAGGGUCAAGAAAAUUUUGGGGGGUGUUCGAGACAGGGUUUCUCUGUAUAGCCCUGGCUGUCCUGGAACUCACUUUGUAGACCAGGCUGGCCUCGAACUCAGAGAUCCACCUGCCUCUGCCUCCUGAGUGCUGGGAUUAAAAGCGUGUGCACCACACCCAGCUGGAAAUUUUUAUUUCAGUUGUUUUUGUUUCUCUUUUUUCUUACUUUUUAAAAAAUGAUAUUUAUUUUAUGUAUAUGAGUAUACUGUAGCUGUACAGAUGGUUGUGAGUCUUCAUGUGGUUGUUGGGUAUUGAAUUUUUAGAACCUCUGCUCACUCUGGUCAACCUUGCUUGUUCUGGCCCAAAGAUUUAUUUAUUAUUUUACAUAAGUACAUUGUAGCUGUCUUUAGAUGCACCAGAAGGAGGGCGUCAGAUCUCAUUAUGGGUAGUUGUAAGUCACCACGUGGUUGCUGGGAUUUGAACUCAGGACCUUUGGAAGAACAGUCAGUGCUCUUACCAGCUGAGCCAUCUCACCAGCUCCUUGUUUCUCUUUUUUCAAGACAGGAUUUCUUGGUGUAGCCUUGGAUGGCACUCUGUAGACCAGGAGGGCCUUGAACUCACAGAGAUCUGCUUGCCUCUGCCUCACAAGUGCUGGGAUUCAAGGUAUUCCCUACCACUGCUCAAAAUCAAGGAACUAUCCAAAGGGAAUAUUGGAAGUUUAUCCCUCAAGGGAGCCAACACCCUCCCUAAUUCACAGCCAUCAACUCUACUGCUCUCUCUGGCAUAUGUGUUUUAAUAUUUAUAUUAAAGAAGUUUGGCUAUAUGGCAUUCAGGCACAGACAGACUAAAAUCAGAGAGAGAAACAGAAACAGAGAGAUAGAGAGAAAUAUAAGAAUUUAGUGAGUUCACAGGUAUUCCAGAGUCACAUCUUGAAGGGUGGAAAAACUGAGGAUGCUCUUAUCUUCUUGCUCCCUAGUGAAAACGAGGAGAGUAUCCAUCCACACAUCAAUAAAAUGGAUCAUCUAAUAAAUUUAUUUGUCUAUGUUCCUUUGCCUCAUGACAGUAAGAAAAAAAAAAACAGUAACAGGAAAUGCUAGAAGGGUUUAAAUAUGUAAAGGGCCUCAGUAAUGAAAGGAUACAUAAAGAUGGCUGGGUAUCUCCAGAGUAAAUAAGACUAGAAAGCUUUUGCAAGUUAUGACGGUCUGAAGCAGUCAUUUAAGGAACAUAAAGGAUGAGGGCUUCACAUGAUGUAGUAUAUUAAAGUUGGCAAGGGCAGAGAUCAACAAUCUCACAUAUUGGCUAAAAUGAAUCUCAAACCAAGUUUAUUUAGAGUGUCUGGAUAUAUUGCUUCUCAGUUCUUUGGCUAAGAUCAAGUGUAGAAUGUCUGGAUAUUGAAAUAUUAUAAGUAGUUAAAAGUGCCAGACUAGUUGAAAAGUGAUAUUUUGGACAUUAAGUAAUCAUACUUGGAGGCUAUUCUAAUGCGGUCAGAGGGAUUCACAGAAUAUUUUCUCCUUUGUCCUCUCCAGUCAAUGAGCUCUCAUCAGUUUGUAGGCCAUUGACCAGGUUAAUCAGUGUUCUGUACCUGUGGAACGUCACUCAUUGUUCAUGGAGCCAUGGUGACCCUACUCGAUGAAUUAAAAACAUUGUCAGUGUACAAUAAAGAGGCUCAACGCAGGCUUCACAGGAAGCCAUAAUUAGUCAAACAAGGCCUUUGUCUUACCCUCACAUAGAUGGACAACUGGUAGAAAAAGGCUAGAGGAGCCUAAGGGUCCUGUUAAGUCCACUUGACACCUGAGGAUCUGUUGAACACUACAGAAGUGCCACACCACCUUCAGUGGGAUCUGUGUGACAAGUUCCACAGACUGAGGUGGUUUACCUCAGAAGGGGGAGGGAGGCCUCCUGGAACCUGUUGUGGAACUCUUCGCUGAAGAAAAAAUAUUGAGCUGUAGUUCUCAUGGCAACCUAUCUGUUUUGGUUCCUCUUAUUCCUUUUCUUAUUUACAUGUUCCUGGUAGCCUAGGCCAAGACCUUAAGUGAGAAUAAUGGAUUAAGAAACCAUCUUUUGAGAUAGGGUCACUAACAUGACCUUAUGCCUGGGGAAACCAAUGGUUUACUUUUAA
rnacentral:lncRNA from 1 species